CCGGCCCCGGAUAAGCGGAAGAAGAUGGUAUGGUAUGGUAAUUCAGUUCUGCAUUAUCUGGUUGUUGUAGGGUGAAGUGCAUUCCCAUGUUGACUGCAUAUCGUUCAUGUUGUCCCCCACUGAUAAGCUAGCUUACUGCUAAAAUUUACAAUCAACCUAUUGACCUCUGCAGGUGCAUUUGUAAUUGUGAUAUAGUUACUCAAGUCUUUCAUGUGACAUUACCAUUAUUUUGUUCUCCCCUAUAGGUCAAUAUGACCUGCUAAAAUGCAUAAUGAAAUUCCCACCAUUGAUAAGUACAGUAGUUUACAUUGGCCUAAGAAUAGUGUGUGGAAAUGAGUGGAAACCUGAAAAGGAGCCAUGUGGUUCCCUUGAAGCCAUGAUCUAUAAGACUCAACAUUAUGUAGGCUCUGCCUUUUUUAUACUGGUAGAUAAAUCUUUAACAUGAAGACAAAAAAAUUGUGGCCCUAAUCUUUAUUAGGUCCUUGAUGUUAAUGAGGUUUUAGUGUUAUUUUGUCCACCCCCUGUAUUGUCCUGGUGUGAAAGCGUUGAGUCAAGACCAGUGGAACGAUACAUGGAAUUAAUCUUACAUUUUAAUUAACUUAGUCUUCUGAUGAUAUUGUUAAUUGAAUACAAUCUCAAUAAAUCCAUUUUAUAAAGCUUUUUGAAAUCCAGCCUAAAACCCAGAAAAACAAGCUAUAGAGAAGCACAUGUUAUGCUACUCUGUAGAAAGACAGGAACCUAGGGGUGGCCCUCAGUGGGGUAGCUGUUAGAGGUGUAGGUGGCUAUGGCUGAUUGGUGGCUGCUCUGCCACAUUAUGUACCCUGCCAUGUUCUGUCUACUGUGAGUUCUGUGCUGCUGGUUGAUUGUGCGCUGUGUUCCUGACUGCAGCUUGCAAAGGGCCUGACUCCAUCUCUGGACUUCCCGAUGAACGGUCAACCUCUCAAUGGAAGACAUGAGUGUUAAACCUGUGAAAACAUCGAGCAUCUUAUCAGUAAUAAGGGACCAUGGUCCUUCAGGAUGACAGCCCACCUGCUGACCUGUGUACAGAGGACAGUCUUGCCAGCAGGGUGUUUUCAAGGAGAGCCCAACAUAAGUCCAGUCUAAGAGAAGCCCUCCCCAGCCUGAGUGAGCUAAUUACUCCAGGCUCCUCCACAGACACUCAACAAACCACAGGUGCCAAACUCGUGUUUUACCUUAAAGUUCAGAAUGUGUUCUGUGUCCAUUGACAGCGCCAAUUGGCCACUCAUGGUGCUAUUUUUAUUUUACUACCAGAACAAUUUCAGCUUUUUAUAACUGCAAAGCCAAAUCGCAUUGAAAUGUUUACUCUUCCCUCCCCACCUGAGCCCUUUCUAAAGUCCUUGGUACCAAACGUAUACUCCAAGUCUAGAGUCAACAUUAGCAUAAAUUACUGGUGCAGCCUUGGUAUCGGGGUAAAGCACCAGUGGAAAUGCGGCAUGAGUGACCCCCCCAUCUCAGAAUAGGCCCUCUACAUCUUAAUCAACAACCUGACAAAAAUGUUUGCCCAGAUAGAAGUAGAACAGGUACUGCUCAGAGAGAAGGUGAACACAAGACAUCUGACUGAAGACAAACAGAGGACAAGAUGACUGUGAACCCACAGCACAGUUGUGAAACCCAAGAAAGAAUUGACUGAGCUCUCAGCAGAGGUGAGAGAGCUGGAGAGCGAUAUGGAGAACUGUAAGACAGAGGCAACGAUGUGCCUUCAAACCCAGUUGGACACUAUAGACCUGCCUGAAGCCAACACCAACCAAAUCUGAACUUAGACAUCACCUCCCACCACCACCGCACAACACCCCAACCAUACCACAAAUGCCACUCUACCCCAGCCCCAAAAUCUAACAGCCCCAAAUCUACUCCCUCCAGACCUGAGGACAGACAGGCUGACAUCAUCCUGCUGAUGGAUUCCAAUGGUAAAUUUACUCAAGAGAAACCCUUCCCUGAUCAAAAAACCAAAAGAUGUGGUGCCCUACAAACUGAAGUACAAUGGACCUCCUCAGUACGGCCCAGAUGAGAUCACCACAUUAUAAUACACACUGGGACCAAUGACCUGCGGGCACAGCAAGAGAGAGUGGCCACCUCCAGCGUCCCAACACAAAAAUAGUGGUGUCAGCCCUCCUCCUAAGAACAGAAUUCCACCCAACCACAUCCAGCGCAUGAACGCCAGCCUCUCCAGAGCCUGGGCCCUGAUACCAAAUGUACAGGUGCUGGUCGUAUAAUUA